UUGACGAACGCUGGCGGCAGGCUUAACACAUGCAAGUCGAGCGGGCGAGGUUGCUUCGGUAACUGAGCUAGCGGCGGACGGGUGAGUAAUGCUUAGGAAUCUGCCUAUUAGUGGGGGACAACAUUCCGAAAGGAAUGCUAAUACCGCAUACGCCCUACGGGGGAAAGCAGGGGAUCUUCGGACCUUGCGCUAAUAGAUGAGCCUAAGUCAGAUUAGCUAGUUGGUAGGGUAAAGGCCUACCAAGGCGACGAUCUGUAGCGGGUCUGAGAGGAUGAUCCGCCACACUGGGACUGAGACACGGCCCAGACUCCUACGGGAGGCAGCAGUGGGGAAUAUUGGACAAUGGGCGAAAGCCUGAUCCAGCCAUGCCGCGUGUGUGAAGAAGGCCUUUUGGUUGUAAAGCACUUUAAGCGAGGAGGAGGCUACUUGGAUUAAUACUCUAGGAUAGUGGACGUUACUCGCAGAAUAAGCACCGGCUAACUCUGUGCCAGCAGCCGCGGUAAUACAGAGGGUGCGAGCGUUAAUCGGAUUUACUGGGCGUACAGCGUGCGUAGGCGGCUUCUUAAGUCUGAUGUGAAAUCCCUGAGCUUAACUUAGGAAUUGCAUUCCGAUACUGGGAAGCUAGAGUAUG
rnacentral:rRNA from 1 species